GCUUGUCUCAAAGAUUAAGCCAUGCAUGUCUAAGUAUAAACGACUUUAUACAGUGAAACUGCGAAUGGCUCAUUAAAUCAGUUAUAGUUUAUUUGAUAAUACCUUACUACUUGGAUAACCGUGGUAAUUCUAGAGCUAAUACAUGCUACACAACCCGACUUCUGGAAGGGUGGUACUGAUUAGAUACAAAACCAAUGCCCCUCGGGGCUCCUUGGUGAAUCAUAAUAACUUAACGAAUCGCAUGGCCUUGCGCCGGCGAUGGUUCAUUCAAAUUUCUGCCCUAUCAACUUUCGAUGGUAGGAUAGUGGCCUACCAUGGUGGCAACGGGUAACGGGGAAUUAGGGUUCGAUUCCGGAGAGGGAGCCUGAGAAACGGCUACCACAUCCAAGGAAGGCAGCAGG
rnacentral:rRNA from 1 species